CACGUAGGGGGCAAGCGUUGUCCGGAUUUAUUGGGCGUAAAGAGCUAGUAGGUGGCUAAGUAAGUCGGAUGUUAAAUCCCCAGGCUCAACCUGGGACACCACCCGAUACUGCUUUGGCUAGAGUCCGGUAGGGGAGCAUGGAAUUCCUGGUGUAGCGGUGAAAUGCGCAGAUAUCAGGAGGAACACCAGCGGCGAAGGCGGUGCUCUGGGCCGGAACUGACACUGAGGAGCGAAAGCGUGGGUAGCAAACAGG
rnacentral:rRNA from 1 species